rnacentral:misc_RNA from 1 species
UAAAUUUUAAAAUCAAUAAAUGAAACUACAUGACUCUCUACUUUUUCCCUUCGCCUUCUUUGUUCAUUCACCUUCUUGUUACCAUUCAAAAGAUUAUUAUUUAUAUGAAUGCAUUUAAAUUUAAUUUGGAGAGUAAAAAUUUAUUGUAUGAUAGUUUUUGGGAGGCAAAAUAGGAAUCCCGUCCUUUUGUUUGGAUAAAACUGGUGAUGAGGAUGUGAAGUUGAAUUAUCUUUCCCCUCCAAAAAGGUAAACUCAUGCUUCGGCUUUUCUAAAAUCCAAUUUCCACAUUUUUAGUGUUUUAGAGUUUAGAAAAAUUAGUUAAGGAAGUAG